CCUACGGGUGGCAGCAGUGGGGAAUAUUGGACAAUGGGGGCAACCCUGAUCCAGCCAUGCCGCGUGUGUGAAGAAGGCCCUCGGGUUGUAAAGCACUUUCAGUGAGGAAGAACGCCUGGUGGUUAAUACCCAUCAGGAAAGACAUCACUCACAGAAGAAGCACCGGCUAACUCCGUGCCAGCAGCCGCGGUAAUACGGAGGGUGCGAGCGUUAAUCGGAAUUACUGGGCGUAAAGCGCGCGUAGGUGGCUUGAUAAGCCGGUUGUGAAAGCCCCGGGCUCAACCUGGGAACGGCAUCCGGAACUGUCAAGCUAGAGUGCAGAAGAGGAAGGUAGAAUUCCCGGUGUAGCGGUGAAAUGCGUAGAGAUCGGGAGGAAUAACGGUGGCGAAGGCGGCCUUCUGGACUGAAACUGACGCUGAGGCGCGAAAGCGUGGGUAGCAAACAGGAUUAGAUACCCGGGUAGUC
rnacentral:rRNA from 1 species